UAGGGAAUCUUCGGCAAUGGACGGAANNNUGGACCGAGCAACGCCACGUGAGUGAAGAAGGUUUUCGGAUCGUAAAGCUCUGUUGUAAGAGAAGAACGAGUGUGAGAGUGGAAAGUUCACACUGUGACGGUAUCUUACCAGAAAGGGACGGCUAACUACGUGCCAGCAGCCGCGGUAAUACGUAGGUCCCGAGCGUUGUCCGGAUUUAUUGGGCGUAAAGCGAGCGCAGGCGGUUAGAUAAGUCUGAAGUUAAAGGCUGUGGCUUAACCAUAGUAGGCUUUGGAAACUGUUUAACUUGAGUGCAAGAGGGGAGAGUGGAAUUCCAUGUGUAGCGGUGAAAUGCGUAGAUAUAUGGAGGAACACCGGUGGCGAAAGCGGCUCUCUGGCUUGUAACUGACGCUGAGGCUCGAAAGCGUGGGGAGCAAACAGGAUUAGAUACCCUGGUAGUCCACGCUGUAAACGAUGAGUGCUAGGUGUUAGACCCUUUCCGGGGUUUAGUGCCGUAGCUAACGCAUUAAGCACUCCGCCUGGGAGUACGACCGCAAGUUG
rnacentral:rRNA from 1 species